rnacentral:rRNA from 1 species
GAUGAACGCUGGCGGCGUGCCUAAUACAUGCAAGUCGAGCGAACAGAUGAGGAGCUUGCUCCUCUGACGUUAGCGGCGGACGGGUGAGUAACACGUGGAUAACCUACCUAUAAGACUGGGAUAACUUCGGGAAACCGGAGCUAAUACCGGAUAAUAUAUUGAACCGCAUGGUUCAAUAGUGAAAGACGGUUUUGCUGUCACUUAUAGAUGGAUCCGCGCCGCAUUAGCUAGUUGGUAAGGUAACGGCUUACCAAGGCAACGAUGCGUAGCCGACCUGAGAGGGUGAUCGGCCACACUGGAACUGAAACACGGUCCAGACUCCUACGGGAGGCAGCAGUAGGGAAUCUUCCGCAAUGGGCGAAAGCCUGACGGAGCAACGCCGCGUGAGUGAUGAAGGUCUUCGGAUCGUAAAACUCCGUUAUUAGGGAAGAACAAAUGUGUAAGUAACUAUGCACGUCUUGACGGUACCUAAUCAGAAAGCCACGGCUAACUACGUG